GUACCUUUUCAGUGUACAUAUGCAAAUCUGUUUUUGAAAAAUUAAAAACAUGAUAUUCACUUGUGUAUCGUUUAAUGUUUUGGUGAUUUUUUGUGUCGGAUUAACAGAAGGGAUUUCAUUAUCAUACAGAGCUUAUGCAAAUGUUAGCGAAGGAGAUAAAGACAUGCAGUUUCUUCUAUACACAAGGAAAAAUCCUGUGGUCCCUGAAGAGUUUGUUUUAUCCGACUUAGAUAACUUAACAAAUUUCGAUGUGAAUAGGCCUGUUAAAGUGUUGGUGCAUGGCUGGUCAAAUUAUUAUAACUCUUCUUUUAACAUAUUGGUUAAAAAUGCGUAUCUCAUUCAAUACGAUGCUAAUGUCAUUUCUGUCAACUGGGAUUGGUUGUCAGGGAGUUGGUAUUGGUGGGCCAGGGGGAACGUUGUCAAUGCGGCAAAGGUCGUAGCUUUAAUGAUUGACGGAUUGAUCACCCAGCUUGGUGUAAGCCCGGAUAGGAUACACAUAGUGGGCCACAGCCUUGGAGCACAUGUUGCAGGAAUCACAGGCUUUUUAGUGAAAAAUGGUCCUAUCGGAAGGAUUACAGGCUUGGACCCAGCAGGACCUCUAUUUUCAUCAAACGAGAAAAUGAAAAUAAGUGCUAAAUCGGCGAAGUUUGUUGACAUUAUUCAUACCGCUGGGCUUUUCACCGGAUAUUAUCCAAAUCUGGGACAUGUCGAUUUUUAUCCAAAUGGCGGCUACCCAGUCCAACCAGGGUGUGGAGUGGAUUUUACAAUUUAUAUAUAGCUUUACGAAGCCAUCGGAGAGCUUAUUGGCUAUUUGCUGAAUCAAUUACAGUACCUAAUGGAUUUAUGGCUAUCCCUUGUCAAAGUUGGAACCAAUUUAAAAACUCUAGUUGCCCAUUUGUAAAUAUAACGAAAAUGGGUGAACAUGUGUCACACAGUGCAAGAGGGACAUAUUUUUUAAGAACUAACGACAGAUCACCCUUCUCACUCAUGGAUAAAUCUGUUUUCUAUAAUCACUAACUGGAGGGGGAGAGAGAAAUGUAUAUUUCAAACAUUUUAUUUAGCGCUCGUCGCUGUAAGGUAAAAAUCCUGGGUUCGAGUCUAGCGGCUCUGCAUUCAAAACCAACAUGCUAAUAAAUAGGCUUUUUUACAAAAACACCGGCACCCCGAGGCUUGAUAUGACCUCUGCAAUUGUGAAAAAAUAAACAAAUAGAUAAAAUAUAUUAUCACAAAAAGAGGAACUACUCAUUAUUAGUCCUUGCUGUGUAAUAGCAUUAAUUUUUCUCACUGUUCCUUAAGAGGUUGUAAGUUGUCAUAACUAUCAUUAAAUGUAUUAAUUAUUUUA